AGCGUGGCAAGUACAAAGAUUGGGGUAUCCAGCAUUCACUUGAUAUCUGGCAUGCUGCAAAAAGUCUGAGCAAGAGACUUUUCCGGGCUGGGUCCAAAAAGGAGAACAGUGGCCUUCUGGUGUGGACAAGGGACAUAGUCAACCAUUUUUGGUUUUGCAGCAAGAAGGCAGAAAGUGAGGAGCAGUUCAAGCUGACGUGGGUUGGUGUGCUACACCACGUUCGUAAUGAACAUGUUUGGGCCACCGGCUGUUGUGAACAUGAGCCCCUGGACGGAGACAGUAGAGAUAAGCCCUGGAUCGUACAAGGUUCUGCAUGUCACAAGGCACUGACUGCAAUCGUGCUGGAAAAGAG